rnacentral:rRNA from 1 species
GGUUAAGCGACUAAGCGUACACGGUGGAUGCCCUGGCAGUCAGAGGCGAUGAAGGACGUGCUAAUCUGCGAUAAGCGUCGGUGAGGUGAUAUGAACCGUUAUAACCGGCGAUUUCCGAAUGGGGAAACCCAGUGUGUUUCGACACACUAUCAUUAACUGAAUCCAUAGGUUAAUGAGGCGAACCGGGGGAACUGAAACAUCUAAGUACCCCGAGGAAAAGAAAUCAACCGAGAUUCCCCCAGUAGCGGCGAGCGAACGGGGAGGAGCCCAGAGCCUGAAUCAGUGUGUGUGUUAGUGGAAGCGUCUGGAAAGGCGCGCGAUACAGGGUGACAGCCCCGUACACAAAAAUGCACAUAUUGUGAGCUCGAUGAGUAGGGCGGGACACGUGGUAUCCUGUCUGAAUAUGGGGGGACCAUCCUCCAAGGCUAAAUACUCCUGACUGACCGAUAGUGAACCAGUACCGUGAGGGAA